rnacentral:lncRNA from 1 species
GAGUAGUCGAAGUUGGCACCGAUGGAGUAGUUGAAGUUGUCGAUGGAGCGAAAUAAGCGCCAAGAGCAUAAAGAACAUCACUAGCUUUCCCAUGGAAACCAACAAGUUUUCCUCCCUUAUCGUUAAGUUCAAAUUUCUUCUCAGUCACCAUUCCAAAAGGCUGUGAGGUUUUACCCUUAAAGGUCUUGAAGACAAGAGAAGUGACGAUUUCACUCUUAAAACCAAAGACAUUGUCGACAGAAACUUGAACUGAUGUGAUGUAAUCAUCAGGAUCAACUUCAAACUCCUCUGUUCCUAACACUGUCAUUUUUCCAUGCUCUCGUGUCUCACUUUUCCCAUCUUUUUCGUAUUCGAAUUUGACAUAAGCUACACCAGAAUCACCUUGACCAACAUAAACCUUUCUUACAUGAUUGAAAGCACCAUCGUCGAAUGUAUCCCCACCAUUUCCUCCUUGAGCUUCCACUUUGUUGGGAGGAGCUGGAGCUGGAGCUGGAGCUGGAGCGGGAGCUGGAGCUGGAGCUGGAGCUGGAGCGGGAGCUGGAGCAGGAGCUGGAGCGGGAACGGGAAGAGGGGCAAAAUGUGCACCAAGAGCAUCAAUAGCAUCACCAGACCGACCACAAAACCCAACAAGUUUAAAACCUGUUUCUUCGAACACAAAUUUAUUACCAACCACAUUCCCAAAAGCAGGGGAGACUCUUCCUUUUGAUGUCUUAAACUUCAGAGACGAAAGGUAACCAUCGAUUGUUCCCUCGACCGAUGUAAUAUGUUCAUUAGGAUAAUCCACCACAAACUGCAACCAAAUUUAAAAUUUUCUCUGAUCAAAAGAGAAUAAUAAUAAGAAUAUCUUAGCACACACGAAAUUAACAAAAAUUCCUAUGAAGAUACCUCUUGUGGAGCUUCUUGUCUCUUCCCAUGAGCAUGUGGUACCAUUCUUUCGCCUUUCGCAUACUCAAACCGGACAUAACUCACAAACUUACCAUUUCGUCCAACGACCACUUUUCUAACACCAUCGAAAGCGCCAUCGUCCCAAGCACUCCCUCCAUUCCCACCUUGCAGUUUAAAGUGCUUAAGAGAAGAGUUCACAGCGAAGAAGUGAGGUCCAAUAGCAUCAAGAGCUUCACCAGAACGUCCAUGGAAACCAAGAAGCUUUCCUCCAUUUUUGCUCUCGAGCAUGAAUUCUUUCCCAGCUGGAUUCCCUAGUAAUGUCGUAUGACCAAGUAUCGGAGAGGUUCUUCCAUAAGAGGUUUUGAAGAGUAAUGAUUUGAUCAAUUCUGAUCCAUAACCGAAAACAGUAUCGUAGCUUCCACCAACGGCUGUGAUAUAUUCAUUCGGAUAAUCCACUGAAAACUGGAUUACAUUUUCCAUCAAAAACAAACAAAUUAUUAGCUUUUACGGGUUGAAUAAGAACCAUUGACGAAUAACAAAGUCUUGUUUGUUUCAUUACCUCUUUUAGUUCUCCGCGAUUAGUCCCGUGUUCACGAAUUUCGAAUUUUCCGUCCUUUUCAUAUUCGAUCUUGAUAUAAGUUACCUUGCUGAAGUCUUUUCCAACUAUUACUUUCUUCACACCAUCAAAAACACCAUCAUCGAAUGCUCCUCCCUUGUUACCACCCAUCGCUCCCACCUUUUCCGACAUUGUUUCUAUCUUUUAAAUUUAGAGAAAACCUGAAAGAUGGAAACGUUUUUUCUGAAACACACUAAGAACCCAAUGGUUUCUGUCUUCAUAUAUAAAAUAGAGUAAGAGGAUGCAACACAAAAUCUGUUUUUUACUUAUCACAAGUGUGCAAAAACGUUAAUACCCUAGAUAAUUACUUGGUCUAUCGAAAAUUAUAUUUCUCAGGUUCCAUUAUUUAGGAAAUACUUUUUCAAGACAAUAUCAAUUGCUCUCCUUUUGAUUCUUUGACAUAAUUAUAUUUACAUACUUAACAAGAUGAAAUCAUCUGAAAAAAAUCUGGAUUUUGACAAAAAUAUAGGAGAAACAUGUACAAUAACAUAGAGACAUUAAAAAUUUUAAAAUUAUAGGACAUAAUUUAAAAUUAAUAAUAUUAUUCUUUAGUCUGUGACAAAUAUCUUAGUCAAUAAAAUUAAACAAGUUGAAACUUGAAACCAGAGAAACAAAGCACACAAGAGAGAAAAUAAAACCGGAAAAUGAAGUCUAUAUUAUUUUAAUGUUCCAAAAACAAUAUAUGAUGUCUUACACUAUGAUUUCUUUGCUUCGGCAAUUUCCUAAUAAACUAAUCAGUUUGAAGUUAGAAAAAGAAAAAAGUCUACCUUAAAGCAUUUGUUAAGAAACGAAUACAAAAUUGAAAAAAACAGUUUAAAUAAUAAUUUGUUUAUAAGUUCUUUGAAAUCUAGCAGUAGUCACUACUUAGAGAGGAAACACAAAACAUAAAAUAAUCAAACUAGGCCGUUUUGGCCGAUCAACAGUCAAGAAAACUAGAAAAGAAAGACAGAGUAAAACCAAAAAAAGAACUGAGAAAUAGUAACCUGAGUAAAGAGAGUCCGAUGAGGAAUGAGAGUAAAUUGUGAGAUUGUGGAUAGCAAUAGAGUAUAGUAAUAAUUUCUUAUAUAAUGUGAAAUUGAAAACCUCACCUAGAUACAGUCUUUAUAUUCUUCGUGACAAUGAUAGGAGUUAUAAUUCUUGAAAACGGUUACAUUCCUUAUAAACGUGAGAGAAAUGCUUCCCACAUGGUCCAACUAACAAAUAUAAAGGCCAAUAAACCAUGAAUUUGUUACACCAAACAAAAAAUAACAAAAAAUCAAUAGGCACCUAAAUUUUAAACCACUAAACCAUUAAGAAAAAUAAAAUAGUCGAUGCAUCAUAACCAAACAAGGGCAAAACCACAUAAAAUUAGUAUUAUGUGAAUAGAGAAUGUCGACAAAAGAAUGUGAAUAUAGAAUGGAGGAAAAAAGGGCUGAUUGUGCCUGAGAAGAGACAAGAGAGAGACCUUAUGUUUGAGAAGAGCUGUGAGUGAGAAUGAUAUUGGAUAUUCUGGCCCUGAAUGGUGACAUAUAAAGGUGCGGAUUUCAAGUGUGUUUUUUGAAAAACGUUUUAUGUUACCAAUCAAUAAAUUUGUAGGUAAUCUGCGGUUUUUUAGAAGAAAAAAGAAACAUCUGUUCACGGUUUUCAAAACAAGGUUUUAACCUUUGGACCGCAGUAUUGUUGUCCAACUGUCUGUUCCCAGCGGUUCCACAAAUUCCGCAACAGUUAAAAGAAAAUUUCUUUAUUUAAUUUUUUUUUUAACAACUGAAACAUUGAUUAAUUUCUAAAUGGUUAGUACAAAAAGGAAAGUAACCAUCCGACCCAAAAAAAAAGGAAGUAACCAAAAUGGUGGCACGGUUUAGUGUAAGUUUGGUUUUUGAAAUAUAGAAAAAUAUAUAAACAAGAUAUAAAAAACUGAUAAAAGUUAAAACUAAUGCGCGAGGAAAAAUAUGAAUUUAUUGAGAUGGAUGCAAUUAAAAUGGCAUAUGAUAAAACAAAUGAUGCAAAAAAUAAUAAUACAGAUAUGUUAUAGAAAAAUUAAUAUAUUCGAUAAUAUUUUUUUUGUUGUAUCAUAUUGUUUGUUAUUAAAUUUAUUUAUUUAAUAUAUAUAUACACAUAUUUUUGAAUGUUUAAGUUAUAAUUAUAUUAAUAUAUUUGUUUUAAAAUUAUUCUACAAUUUAUUUUCCGCACUGCUUUUUGUUUUUUCACCAAUCAAACAUUAUUCUGUUGUAUCAUAUUGUUUAUUAUGAAUUUUUUUAUUUAAUAUAUACAUAUAUACACAUAUAUUUGAAUGUUUAAUUUAUAAUUAUAUUAAUAUAUUUCUUUUAAAAUUAUUUAACUACAAUCUAUAUUGUUUAUAAAUAUCUGUUAUUGUUUAUUUAUUAACACAAAAAAUUAAUUAAUUAUUAAUAUAUAUGUAUAUAUAAAACCGCACUUGUCCCGCAAAUAGUUUUUUUCACCAAUCACAUAUUAUUUCGUACCGCUUAUUUUAUACAAACCGCACUUGUCCCGCAAAUAUAUUUCUCCCGCACGUCCCGCAGUUAAACCGUACCGCACUGUAAUACUGCACUUCUCCCGUACCGCAAAACGCAGUUACCAUUCGGAGCCUCUAUUUAUUGACAAUCUUCACCAUUUUAAUCAUUCAUCUUUACACGUUCACACGCCAUCGACCAUUCAUUCUAUAUUUUUACUUUCUUAUCGUGACAUUAUUGAUUUGCUUUUUUUUUUUUUGCGAAAAUUGAUUUGCUUUUUAAAUUUCUUCUUCUUCGUUAUCAUUAAUUGAAGCUUGUUUUAGGUCAUAUGAUAUUUUCUUUAAUGUAUACUUAAGAUUGAUAAAACUAAAUUGUUCCUUUUUUCCAUUCGCAUAGUGAACAGUUUUAAAAAACAUCAUAAAUUUUUGAUUAAUAAGAAAAAUUAUGUAUUCUAUUUAAAUAACUCUUAAUGCAUUAUAUUAAAUGAAAAAAUCCUAAAAGCUAAAAUAGUACAUAAACUACAAUGUUCUAAAAAGCGGUCUAGGCGGUCUCUUAGGUCCGACUAGACGCUAGGCUCUCAUGCGACGUCUAGAUGACCGCCGUGACCGCCUAAAAUUACAUAGAUGUUGUUUAAUGUAUUUUUUUAAUCUCAAUUAAGUUUUAAUUAUAUAUAUAGUUAUAAAUAUUCAUAUAUUGUUUAAUAUAAAUAUAAAUAAAUGUUUUAUCUACCUUUUGUUUAUAAUUUCAUAAUUUUUAGUUUUAAAUAGAUAUUUUAAAUAAUUUUAUAUAUAAUAUCAUAUUUAUAAUGUUUUAUGUUAUAAAUGUUUAAACCGCCUAAAAAUCGCCCACCUCCGAUUAGACAUUUUAGGCGCUAGACACUGGAUAAAAUAAAACAUUAUAAAUAUGAUAUUAUGUAUGUGGUAAGUUUAAACCGCCUAAAUAUUAUAAAUAUGAUAUUAUAUAUGGGGCCUAAAAAUCGCCUAUAUUCUCUCUCAGGCUCGUAGCACCACCCUUGUCCGACAGUCGGUCCGCUACAUCCGGAAGGCUUAAAGACUUGUUUACCGACUAUACAAAUUACCACAUGAUUUGUUCCCGUGUUUUGUCCUCACUCGCACGGUUCUGACGUUCACAUCCCAGAAGGUCAUCCAUCCUGAAAUUGCUUCAGCUCAAGCACGCUUAACUAUGAAGUUUUCUUAGGAUGUUUGACCAAAAAGAUAAGUGUACUUUGGUGACAUAAGUGGCCAAAUCAAUUCUUUUAAACCUCUCCGCAUGCACUACAAUAUUUUUAAAACCGGGGUGUUACAGCUGCCCGGGUUUUAAUGGGUUACAAGCAGAAAACAAAAAUUUGGUCAAUAUUAGAGAGUUAAAAAAAAAAACUUAAGACAAGUGAUAUGAAGGAAGAAGGGUUCCAACUCUUAACCGUACCCUUUCAAGCUUCAAGUAAGUGAAUGCCUAAUUCGCUGAUGAAUCUUUUGUAAAAUUUUGGCCGAAGUUUUAUUUAUCGUAUUAAUGGCCGCAAACAUGGAUUUGGCCCGCUUGUACUCAUGGCGGCUCUGCCCGAAUAUUGACACUGGUAAGGUGUCAUCUCUAUAAAUCUCUAUAUUGUUGUUCGUUUGGCAGUCACAUGUCUCUUGCGGCUGCGGCUGCGACUGAAAGUUGUUCGUUUGACAGUAGUAGGAUCCUGCGAUCAGUCACUGCGACUUGCGACUGAAUUUUUUAAUUGCAUGAAAAAUUAGUGGUGCAACUUUUUCAAUGCCGAUUAGUCACGAACAACAUCCCGCAAAUUCAAAAUCGCAGUUGCAAUAGCUUGUGAUUAUGAAACGAACAUGGCCUAAUAGUGUGUUCAUUUUUAUAUUUAUUGUGUAGUUUUUAAAACUAUCUACCAACAACUUUUAACAUUUCAACAAAUCUUUUCUGUUACUUACAUACACCAACGCAAAUAAAACAUUUUUUUUUUUCCAUUGGCGUUUGAGUUUUAAGCAAAUAUUUUAUGAAAACUUUACAAACAUAGCUUUUUCUUUGAUGUUUUUCACCUUUAAACAUUCUUUAUUAAAAUCAACAAGUGACAAGACACCAUGAAGGCAGAACAUCACAUGCUCACAAAAAGCAUUGACACCAAAAACAGCCCCACACAUAGGAUGAUAGAAUGUAAGAAGCAGAUUUACACGUUAUGUUUCUUUUGAAAAGAAUUACUUGUUAACAAAAUGAUGAAAUGUGUUAUUUUCUUUCUUUGUUGCGAUUUUUAGUAUUGGUUAUCAUCCAAAGUAUUCAUCGCAAGAAAAACUUCACUAUUUAUGAUAGAAAGAUCUAAAAAGAGAUCGAAAAGAAACAUCCUUUAUUAAAAUCAACUAGUGACAAGACUCAUGAAGGCAGAACAUCACAUGUUCGCGCGCAUAAAGCAUUGACGCUAAAACACACACCCAAAUCCAUAAGCAUGCAUAUAUGGUCCAUAUAUAUUGACCUUACUUAAAGGAAUCAUCAGAGAAAAGAAACUACAAAGCACAUCUAAUUGGUGAAAAUGGGCACGACAUGGACUCCGAUCUGAUGAACCACAUCACCAGCUUUGCCGUGGAACCCAACGAUCUGGUAACGGUCCUCCUUAAGCUCGAAAUGCUCCCCAGCAAUCAUUCCAAACGGCUGAGACGUUCUCUUGUUAGUCUUGAACGUUAGACUCGUCACCAGUUCAGCAUCAACUCCAAAGAUUUUAUCAUAGUAACCUUCCACCAAAGUGAUAUACUCACUUGGAUAAUCAAGCUCAAACUACAAAAUCAAGAAGGAUAAAAUUAUGUCAAGAAAUCAACUUUUGGGAGAAACUAGAAACAAAUUAGAGAGAUCAAAAAAGAAUCGAACCGUUUCAGUUCCAAGUACUGUUUGUUUCCCAUGAACAUCACCGAUGAUAGCUUGAGAGCCUUUGUUGUACUCAAACGUGACAAAAGCUACUCCAUCGUUUCCUUGACCUACAAGUAUCUUUCUAAGGCCAUCAAAAACACCAUCAUCCCAAGAAGCUCCUCCAUUACCACCUCUUGCUUGUAGCUUCUUAGCAGUAGAAGGUGUCAACGGAGUAGUCGAAGUUGUUGUUGGAGCGAAAUAAGCACCAAGAGCAUACAGAACAUCACUAGCUUUCCCAUGGAAUCCAGCAAGUUUUCCUCCGUCACCGUCUUUAAGCUCGAAUAUCUUCUCAGUCACCAUUCCAAAAGGCGGUGAGCUUUUACCCUUAAAGGUCUUGAAGACAAGAGCAGUGACGAUUUCGCUUUUAUAACCAAAGACUUUGUCGACAGAAACUUGAACUGAUGUGAUGUAAUCAUCUGA